rnacentral:snRNA from 1 species
CGAGCUUCUCCAAACUCG